AUGGAACCGUUUGUGUGACUUUCUAAGUGGGAAGAUGUUCUAUUUGGGGACUGGGGUGCCGGGGAUCCUUGACCUCAAACCUCUCUAUUCCCUCCUGUCUUCCCCCAAAGCUCUAACCUAUAGGGUCUCUUUCAGCCUCUGCCACACACUGAAGACCAACACAGGCAGAGACUGGGACAAGGAGACAGGUGAGUGGCUGGACCCACUCCUUCAGUUACCUCCAGUAAAAGUGUGGUGUCUAAGAGAAGAUUGGGAGAGGAGAAUCCACCUUCCAGGCACAAAACGUCACUGGAGACGGGUAGGGUAGGGCAGGAAGGCAGUAGGGCAGGUCUGGGUACAUUUUUGUAGCAAAAGACAACUAGCAUGCGUGUUCAGUUUGGUACAGACAGUGCAGCGCUGGGCCAUGCU
rnacentral:lncRNA from 1 species